AGUGAACGCUGGCGGUAGGCCUAACACAUGCAAGUCGAACGGCAGCACAGUAAGAGCUUGCUCUUACGGGUGGCGAGUGGUGGACGGGUGAGGAAUACAUCGGAAUCUACUUUUUCGUGGGGGAUAACGUAGGGAAACUUACGCCAAUACCGCAUACGACCUACGGGUGAAAGCAGGGGACCUUCGGACCUCGCGCGAUUGAAUGAGCCGAUGUCGGAUUAGCUAGUUGGCGGGGUAAAGGCCCACCAAGGCGACGAUCCGUAGCUGGUCUGAGAGGAUGAUCAGCCACACUGGAACUGAGACACGGUCCAGACUCCUACGGGAGGCAGCAGUGGGGAAUAUUGGACAAUGGGCGCAAGCCUGAUCCAGCCAUACCGCGUGUGUGAAGAAGGCCUUCGGGUUGUAAAGCCCUUUUGUUUGGAAAGAAAAGCAGCAGGUUAAUACCCCGCUGUUCUGACGGUACCCAAAGAAUAAGCACCGGCUAACUUCGUG
rnacentral:rRNA from 1 species